rnacentral:lncRNA from 1 species
AAGGGGAAACUUCAGGGGCUGCUGGACACCCUCAGUGCCUGGGGGUGACCCCCAGCACCCAUGGGUGCUCCCCUACACCUGUGGGUGCUCCCCAUCACCCGUGGGUGCUCCCACCCCAAAGGGGGGGCUUGGGGUGACAUCAGCACAGGGCUUCUGGGGGGUUUGGGGACACUGCUGGUGCCUUUGGGGACAAUUGGCAACUUUGGGGGCUCCUGGACACCCCCAGCACCCAUGGGUGACCCCCAGUGCCUGGGGGUGCCCCCUCCCCAAAUCUGAGCAGGGUUUGGGGACACCCCUGGGGAUGCCCCUCGCACCCUUGGGUGCCCCCCAGCUGCCCCUGGGCAGCCCCAAAAUCCUGAGUGUCCCUGUCCCUGGUGUCCCGGACCCCAGUGUCCCCUCAGGGUGUCCCCAUGUCCCCGCCAGGUGUUCCCUGGUGUCCCCAUGUCCCCCCCCCCCGUCUCCCAGCCCUCUGGCCGCGUGUCCUCAGGUGACCCCGUGUCCCCACAUGCCCUCUUCUGCCUGCCCGUGGCCUUGUCCCCGUGGCCUUGUCCCCGUGUGACCCCUCUGUCACCGCCUGUCCCCGGGCGACCCCAGUGCUGGCUGUCACCCGGCUGUCACCCGGCGUGUCCCCGCUGGCGGCGGUGGCAGUGGGUGACCCCUGGUGGCCCUGUGGCGCCCGCCACCCGACCCCGGGGCCUGGCUGCCACCCGUGGCACGGGGGGAUCCCCGCUGUCCCCCAUGGGUGCCUCGUGUCCCCUGUGGGUGCCUCAUGUCACCCGUGGGUGCCCACUGUCCCCAUGGGUGCCUGCUGCCACCUGUGGUACCUUGUUGUCCCCAUGGGUGCCCCACUGUCCCCAUGGGUGCCGCAUUGUCCCCAUAAUUGUCCCACUGCCCCCACAGGUGCCUAUUGUCCCCAUGGGUGCUUGCUGUCACCCAUGGGUGCUCAUUGUCCCCUGGGAUACCUGCUGUCACCUGUGGUAUCUUCUUGUCCCCAUGGGUGUCCUGUUGUCCCCACAGUUGUCCCAUUGUCCCCACGGGUGCUCAGUUGUCCCUGCAGGUGCCCAUUGUCCCCAUGGGUGCUCACUGUCACCCAGGGGUGCUCACCAUCCCCCUGGCUACCUGCUGCCACCUCUGCUGUCCCCAUGGGUGCCCGUUGUCCCCCGGGGUCCCUGCUGUCACCUGCGAUGCCUGAUGCCACCCCACUGCCCUGUGGGUGCCCUGUGCCUGAUCCCCCUGGCUGCCUGGUGCCCCCUGGGUGCCCGCGGCCCCCCAUGGGUUCCCGGUGCCCCCCCCCCCUGUGCCCGCUGCCCCCCCGGGUGCCCGGUGUCCCCCGGGUGCCCGGUGUGACGGCGUGCCACGCAGCGUGGACCGCAAGGGGCAGUACCACUACCUGGUGAAGUGGCGCGACCUGCCCUACGACCAGGCCACCUGGGAGGAGGACGAGAUGCCCAUCCCCGACUACGACCUCCACAAACUGGCCUACUGGAAGCACCGGUGAGCCC